rnacentral:rRNA from 1 species
CCAGACUCCUACGGGAGGCAGCAGUGGGGAAUAUUGCACAAUGGGGGGAACCCUGAUGCAGCGACGCCGCGUGGGUGAAGGAGCACCUCGGUGCGUAAAGCCCUAUCGGCAGGGAAGAAAAUGACGGUACCUGAAGAAGAAGCCCCGGCUAACUACGUGCCAGCAGCCGCGGUCAUACGUAGGAUCCGAGCAUUAUCCGGAGUGACUGGGUGUAAAGAGUUGCGUAGGUGGCAUAAUAAGUAGCUAGUGAAAUCCGGUGGCUCAGCCAUUCAGACUAUUAGCUAAACUGUUAAGCUCGAGACCGUUAGGGGUAACUGGAAUUUCUAGUGUAGGGUUGAAAUCCGUAGAUAUUAGAAGGAACACCAAUAGCGUAGGCAGGUUACUGGGACGGUUCUGACACUAAGGCACGAAAGCGUAGGGAGCAAACGGGAUUAGAUACCCCUGUACA